rnacentral:misc_RNA from 1 species
GAUGAAGAACGUAGCGAAAUGCGAUAAGUAAUGUGAAUUGCAGAAUUCAGUGAAUCAUCGAGUCUUUGAACGCACAUUGCGCCCCCUGGUAUUCCGGGGGGCAUGCCUGUCCGAGCGUCAUUGCCGCCCUCAAGCACGGCUUGUGUGUUGGGCCCCCGCCCCCCGGCUUCGGGGGGCGGGCCCGAAAGGCAGCGGCGGCACCGCGUCCGGUCCUCGAGCGUAUGGGGCUUCGUCACCCGCUCUGUAGGCCCGGCCGGGCGCCAGCCGGCGUCUCCAACCUUCUAUUUUACCAGGUUGACCUCGGAUCAGGUAGGGAUACCCGCUGAACUUAAGCAUAUCAAUAAGCGGAGGA